rnacentral:lncRNA from 1 species
GGCAUACUAUACAGUAACAGCCAACUUUUUGUUCAUUCUAACUCUUACCACACCGAGCUUUCCUUGGUGUCAGCCACAGGGGUCACUAAGCCAUCAGCUGAUCAAGAAAGUCUCCCGAGUAGCUGGACUACAGGUGCCCGCUCUCAGGCCUCUGAGCCCAAGCCAAGCCAUCGCAUCCCCUGUGACUUGCACGUAUAUGCCCAGAUGGCCUGAAGUAACUGAAGAAUCACAAAAGAAGUGAAUAUGCCCUGCCCCACCUUAACUGAUGACAUUCCACCAUAAAAGAAGUGGACGCGCAUGAAAUUUGGUGCCGCGACUCAGAUCGGGGGACCUCCCUUAGGAGAUCAAUCCCCUGUCCUCCUGUUCUUUGCUCCGUGAGAAAGAUCCACCUAUGACCUCAGGUCCUCAGACCGGACCAGCCCAAGGAACAUCUCACCAAUUUUAAAUCAGGUUCCCACGCCGACCCUAAUGCCGCUUGAAGCAGCCCUGAGAAACAUCGCCCAUUCUCUCUCUCCAUAUCACCCCCCAAAAAUUUUUGCCACCCCAACACUUCAACACUAUUUUGUUUUAUUUUUCUUAUUAAUAUAAGAAGGCAGGAAUGUCAGGCCUCUGAGCCCAAGCCAAGCCAUCGCAUCCCCUGUGACUUGCACGUAUACGCCCAGAUGGCCUGAAGUAACUGAAGAAUCACAAAAGAAGUGAAUAUGCCCUGCCUCACCUUAGCUGAUGACAUUCUACCACAAAAGAAGUGUAAAUGGCCAGUCCUUGCCUUAAGUGAUGACAUUACCUUGUGAAAGUCCUUUCCCUGGCUCAUCCUGGCUCAAAAAGCACCCCCACUGAGCACCUUGCCACCCCCACUCCUGCCCGCCAGAGAACAAACCCUCUUUGACUGUAAUUUUCCUUUACCUUCCCAAAUCCUAUAAAACGGCCCCACCCUUAUCUCCCUUCGCUGACUCUCUUUUCAGACUCAGCCCGCCUGCACCCAGGUGAUUAAAAGCUUUAUUGCUCAC